AAGCAUUAUAGUUUAUUAAACACCAAACUUUGAAUUUGGAAAUGGUGAUUAAAUUCACCUAGUGCU
rnacentral:tRNA from 1 species